GAACCAAAGCCAUGCCCAACCUGAACUACAACGAGCAGUCUAAAGCCCAGCAACAACACCAACUGAUGCAGCUUCAGAUGCAACAGCAGCACCAAAUGCAUCAACAACAGCACCAGUUGCAGCAGCACCAGUUGCAGCAACAGCACCAGCACCAAAUGCAACAGCAUCAGCUCCAACUGCAGCAGCAAAUGCAACAGCAGUUUCACAAGCAGCAACUACAACAGGAGCAACGGCAACAAAUUCACCAGUUGCAGCAACAGCAGUUUACUGCCUCAAGAAAUACUGCAGCCACAGUCUCAGCAAAAGCAGCAGCCAAACCAACACUUCCUUAGCUACCACCAGCCCCCUGACAACUGUCCGUCUAGCGCUAGCCCCCCACCCUCUCAGAAGUACAAGCCUCCGUCUGUGGAAACUCAUGGACAGGGACAGACACCGGAAGUAGAGACCCCAUCCACUGAUCUGUCAAGCCCACCCUGCAACCCCUGCCCUCCAAUGGUCUCACCUAACCCCAUGUCACCCUCCUCCGACACACCUUUGGCUGCCCCCCGCCGUUCGCGCCGCCUCUCCAGAGACGCGCUGUCCCCCCUGGAUGGCCCUCCCUCACUAACCUCCUGGAACCAGACCUCCAGUGAGGUACCCCAGAACGGCGUGGUGGCCGGAGGAGAGGAAGGGAGGAUGGGGGAAGGCCAGGGUCCCACCGGGGGGGGCCAUACAGAGUACACGUCGGAGGGCGUCGAAAGAGAUCAAUCUGGAGACUCUGGCCCAGAAGGCUUCCGAGAUGGAGUCGAUGCCCGCUGCCAAGGUUGCCAAGAUAUCCAAGGAAAUCCUACAUCCCACACAGGAGUCUUCUGAGGGGAGGACGGCUCAUAAUAAUGGCUGGAACGGAGCAAAUGGAACGGUAUUUGAUGAUUCUGCUCCAGCCGUUACCACGAGCCCAUCCUCCUCAAUUAAGGUGCCACCAACCUCCUGUGACAUCCCUGUACUAUCCACAUACUCAGUGGGGAACCGAGGGCCUUGAAGGCCUAAGGAUUUGGUUUCUAUUUCAUCUUUACAAUAAUUUUAACGAUCUUCUGAUUUAAUCUCUUCAGUUUGUAUUGGAAAAAAAAGGGUCAAAGAAAAGGGUCAAAACUGAAGAGAAAAAAAUAUCCAAUCAAGAGUUUCUUUGGUGGUCUCAGGGUAGAAACAUUCUAGCUCA
ensembl:lncRNA